CGCGGGGUAGAGCAGCCCGGUAGCUCGUCAGGCUCAUAACCUGAAGGUCACAGGUUCAAAUCCUGUCCCCGCAA
rfam:Paracoccus sphaerophysae strain HAMBI 3106 Contig_13, whole genome shotgun sequence.